GUGUGUGUGUGUGUGUGUGUGUGUGUGUGUGUGUGUGUGUGUUUCAGGCUGUUGGCACACAGAGUCCUCCACCAGCCUGCAGCCCUGAUGAGGUGUCUCAUGGAUACGUCACCAUCAGGCCUGGUGUGACGACUCAUUAUGUUGAGAUGGGCUCAGGUCCACCAGUUCUGCUGUGUCACGGCUUCCCUGAGAGCUGGUACUCCUGGAGGUAUCAGAUUCCAGCUGUGGCAGCAGCUGGGUUCAGGGUGUUGGCUCUGGACAUGAAGGGCUAUGGAGAGUCCACAGCGCCCCCAGACAUACAGGAAUAUUCUCAGGAGCAGCUUUGCAAGGUACAAACUCACCAACACACUCAUGGAAUCAUUUUUAAACACAGGCGUGUGGCGUCAGCGUUUCAAGCUUUUACAAAAAGACAUUUUUACGAUACUACUUUAACUGA